GUAGUCCACGCCGUAAACGAUGGAUACUAGCUGUUCGGAUGCAAAUCUGAGUGGCUAAGCGAAAGUGAUAAGUAUCCCACCUGGGGAGUACGAACGCAAGUUUGAAACUCAAAGGAAUUGACGGGGGCCCGCACAAGCGGUGGAGCAUGUGGUUUAAUUCGAUGAUACGCGAGGAACCUUACCAGGGCUUAAAUGUAGAGUGACAGGACUGGAAACAGUUUUUUCUUCGGACACUUUACAAGGUGCUGCAUGGUUGUCGUCAGCUCGUGCCGUGAGGUGUCAGGUUAAGUCCUAUAACGAGCGCAACCCCUGUUGUUAGUUGCCAGCGAGUAAUGUCGGGAACUCUAACAAGACUGCCGGUGCAAACCGUGA
rnacentral:rRNA from 1 species